UAACCUACCUUGUUCAGGGGGAUAGCCUCUCGAAAGAGAGAUUAAGACCGCAUAACAUUGCAAUGUGGCAUCACAACGCAAUCAAAUAUUUAUAGGAACAAGAUGGGCAUGCGGAACAUUAGCUAGUUGGUGAGGUAACUGCUCACCAAGGCUACGAUGUUUAGGGGAUCUGAGAGGAUGACCCCCCACACUGGUACUGAGACACGGACCAG
rnacentral:rRNA from 1 species